CCCUUAGAUGUUCUGGGCCGCACGCGCGCUACACUGAUUCAUGCAACAAGUUUUGUCCUUGGCCGACAGGCCCGGGCAAUCUUUGAACGCUGGUCGUGAUGGGGAUAGACUUUUGCAAUUUUUGGUCUUCAACGAGGAAUUCCUAGUAAACGCAAGUCAUCAACUUGCAUUGAUUACGUCCCUGCCCUUUGUACACACCGCCCGUCGCACCUACCGAUUGAAUGGUCCGGUGAAGCCUCCGGAUUGGCGCGCACCUCGGUGCCGCCGAGAAGUUGGCUAAACCUUACCAUUUAGAGGAAGGUGAAGUCGUNACA
rnacentral:rRNA from 1 species